rnacentral:rRNA from 1 species
GGAUGUGCCGAGAGGGAAAAGAUUGAUGCCUGAAGAUGAGCUCGCGUUCUGAUUUAGCUAGUUGGUGGUGUAAAGAGCGCACCCAAGCGACGAUCCAUAGCUGGUUUGAGAGGAUGACUCACCCCCCUGGGACUGAGACCCGGCCCCGACUCCUACGGGGGGCAGCAGUGGGGAAUUUUUCGCAAAGGGGGGAAACCCGACGGAGCAAUUCCGCGUGAGGGAGGAAGGGUUCUGGGUUGUAAACCUUUUUUUUCCGGGAAGAACGCUAUGAAGGUACCUGAGGAAUCAGCAUCGGCUAACUCCGUGCCAGCAGCCGCGGUAAUACGGAGGAUGCAAGCGUUAUCCGGAAUGAUUGGGCGUAAAGGGUCCGCAGGUGGCAAUGUAAGUCUGCUGUCAAAGAGCGAAGCUCAACCUCAUAAAGGCAGUGGAAACUACACAGCUAGAGUGCGUUCGGGGCAGAGGGAAUUCCUGGUGUAGCGGUGAAAUGCGUAGAGAUCAGGAAGAACACCGGUGGCGAA